GUGGAAACCUGAUAUCGAUGCAUGGUUUAAGAGAUUUCAGAACAAAUUUGAGUGGGAUGGGGCGGACAACAAUGUUGUGAGGAGGGUAUGGGAGAAUCACGCGGCAACUAGGUUGUGUGAGUUUUGGUAUGACACC